rnacentral:rRNA from 1 species
GAUGAACGCUGGCGGCGUGCCUAAUACAUGCAAGUCGAGCGAACAGACGAGGAGCUUGCUCCUCUGACGUUAGCGGCGGACGGGUGAGUAACACGUGGAUAACCUACCUAUAAGACUGGGAUAACUUCGGGAAGCCGGAGCUAAUACCGGAUAAUAUAUUGAACCGCAUGGUUCAAUAGUGAAAGACGGUUUUGCUGUCACUUAUAGAUGGAUCCGCGCCGCAUUAGCUAGUUGGUAAGGUAACGGCUUACCAAGGCAACGAUGCGUAGCCGACCUGAGAGGGUGAUCGGCCACACUGGAACUGAGACACGGUCCAGACUCCUACGGGAGGCAGCAGUAGGGAAUCUUCCGCAAUGGGCGAAAGCUUGACGGAGCAACGCCGCGUGAGUGAUGAAGGUCUUCGGAUCGUAAAACUCUGUUAUUAGGGAAGAACAAAUGUGUAAGUACUAUGCACGUCUUGACGGUACCUAAUCAGAAAGCCACGGCUAACUACGUG